rnacentral:lncRNA from 1 species
CAGGGCCACAAACCCCGGGGUGUCUGACAUGUUUCUCAAAGAGCGGAGCUGGUUUCAUGUCUAUCACAUUUCUGACUGUUACACACCUUUUCUCUCCUUCUUCUCUCUUUAGGGGGACAAACCAGAUGGAGUCCUUCCCCCUGGCACUUGGCCCUUGCACCCCCCUGCCCACCUCAGACUUCCAGCAGCAUAAGAAGCAUUACGAUUAGCGCGGAAGGCUGGUCAUUCGAUGGAUGAGACUUCGGCACUGCUGAGACCGUCCGGAGGGGCCUCGCGCAAGUUGCGCAUCCAGCGCUGGAUGCCGCGGCGGUUUAGGUAGAGCACCAUGAGGAAGAUGAGGCCGAUGAGCGCCAGCACCAGCCCGAAGAAGACGUAGGAGGCUUCCAGCUCCGGGCCGGCGAGUUCCACUUCUUCCCCGCGACCGUAUGCAUCGCCGUCGGCACAGCGCAGCCGAGCCUCGUCCAGGUCCAGGAAAGGCCGGUCCUGCAGCGCCCGCGGGGCGGCGCAGCGCAGGCGCCGCGCGUCGGGUACGCGCUCAGUGGAGUUGCGCAGCCAGGCCAGCAGGGGGCGCGCGGCACAGCCGCAGCUCAGGGGGUUGUCGGCGAGCAGCAGGCGCGGCGCGGGGAGGCCGCCAUCGCGCUCGAGCGCGCGCAGCUCGUCGGGGCCCAGGCCGGUCAACGCGUUGAGGCGCGCGUCCAGCUGCUCCAGGCGCGGCCGGCUCAGAGCUGCGGGCGGCAGGCGGCUCAGCGCGUUGCCCGCCAGGCCCACCAGGCGCAGCUCGUCCAGCGGGGCGAGCGCGGUGUCCAGCGCGGCCAGCAGCGUGGGGCCGCCCCGCGCCAGCGCGUGGUUGAGCUGCAGGGAACGCAGCGCGGGCAGUCCGCGGAAGGCGCCGCCGCCCAGCGCGCGCAGAGGGUUGUUGCUCAGGUCGAGCGCCGUCAGGCUGGGCAGCCCGUCGAAGGCGCCGUCCUCCACCACCUCGAUAUUGUUGUGCGUGAGGCGCAGCGCGCUGAGGAGCGGCAGGCGCACGCCGCCCGCUGCUGCCUCCUCCUCCUCCCCGUCAGCGUCCCCGCCGGCGAAGGCGGCCGCGCGAAGCACGGUCAGGUUGGCGCCCACGAUGGUGAGGUUGCGCGCGUCGGGCGGCACGUCCCGCGGGGGCUGCCGGAGCUCGGCGCCCGACGCGCAGCGCAACAGCAGCUUGGGGCCGCCGAAGCAGUAGCACUGGAAGGGACAGGGCGCGGCGGGCCGGCUCAGCGCCGCCGCCACCAGCAGCAGCCCCGGCAGGAGCGGCCCCCUUUGCUCCGGCUGUCCCGAGCGCGGGGCCAUCGCAGCUGCCCCGGCAUCCAGCGCCCUGGCCGCCGCGCUCACCAAACUGGGAAGCUCCAGACCUGA